AUGGAUAGCUUAUUUGUUUUGUUGUAUAUACUUUGUAGUUGCAAUGAUGACACAUAUAUGUCAACUAUGGGUGUUGGCUCCAACAAUUCUCGUUGGUCUCUAACCAAUGAAGUGCAUGAAGAUCAUCAUGAGUUUGAGGUGGAUGACGAUGGUGAGGGUAUCGUCGAUGCACCCAAAGGAAGAGCGGGCAACUACACCAUGGAAGAAGAUAUCUUGCUAUGCAUACAUGGUUGA
rnacentral:rRNA from 1 species